rnacentral:lncRNA from 1 species
GGUGUGGAUUAUGGUUAGAAUUGAGGUUAGGGUUGGGUUUUGAUUUAGGAUUAAGAUUAGGAUUAAAGUUGUAAUUAGGGUUAGGGUUAGGGUUAGGUAUGUGCAGAUUACCAAAGAGGUAGGAGAGAAGAUGAAGUAGGUGAAAGAAAAAACAUACAAAAAUAAGAAAGAAAAGGUAAGAAACUUAUAUAUAGGUGGUUAGAAAAUGAGAUCCAUUGUCAGUA